rnacentral:rRNA from 1 species
UACGAAGGGGGCGAGCGUUGUUCGGAUUUACUGGGCGUAAAGGGCGCGCAGGCGGCUUUGUUUGUCAGGCGUGAAAGCCCCGGGCUUAACCUGGGAACUGCGUUUGAUACGGCAGGGCUAGAGUUCGGGAGAGGAGAGUGGAAUUCCCAGUGUAGAGGUGAAAUUCGUAGAUAUUGGGAAGAACACCGGUGGCGAAGGCGGCCCUCUGGACCGAUACUGACGCUGAGGCGCGAAAGCGUGGGGAGCAAACAGG